rnacentral:rRNA from 1 species
CAAGUCGAACGCGAAAGCCCGCAAGGGUGAGUAGAGUGGCAAACGGGUGAGUAACACGUGGGUGACCUGCCUCAGAGUGGGGGAUAACGACCCGAAAGGGUCGCUAAUACCGCAUGACAUCCUGCUUUUGGACAAGUGGAGAUCAAAGCCGGGGAUCGCAAGACCUGGCGCUCAGAGAGGGGCCCGCGGCCGAUUAGCUAGUUGGUGAGGUAAUGGCUCACCAAGGCAACGAUCGGUAUCCGGCCUGAGAGGGCGGACGGACACACUGGGACUGAGACACGGCCCAGACUCCUACGGGAGGCAGCAGUGGGGAAUUGUUCGCAAUGAGCGCAAGCCUGACGACGCAACGCCGCGUGGAGGAUGAAGAUCUUCGGGUCGUAAACUCCUUUCGAUCGGGAAGAACGUUGUCCGGGUGAACACUCCGGACAAGUGACGGUACCGAGAGAAGAAGCCCCGGCUAACUCCGUGCCAGCAGCCGCGGUAAUACGGGGGGGGCAAGCGUUGUUCGGAAUUACUGGGCGUAAAGGGCGUGUAGGUGGCCAACUAAGUCCAACGUGAAAUCCCCAGGCUUAACCUGGGAACUGCGUCGGAUACUGGGUGGCUUGAAUCCGGGAGAGGGAUGCGGAAUUCCAGGUGUAGCGGUGAAAUGCGUAGAUAUCUGGAGGAACACCGGUGGCGAAGGCGGCAUCCUGGACCGGUAUUGACACUGAAGCGCGAAAGCCAGGGGAGCAAACGGGAUUAGAUACCCCGGUAGUCCUGGCCCUAAACGAUGAAUGUUUGGUGUGGCGGGUAUCGAUCCCUGCCGUGCCGAAGCUAACGCAUUUAAACAUUCCGCCUGGGGAGUAC